rnacentral:rRNA from 1 species
GUAAAAUUUGGAAGAGCGCAACCUGAUUUUAGUUGCCAGCAUUCAGUUGGGCACUUAAGGUGACUGCCGGUGACAAACCGGAGGAAGGUGGGGAUGACGUCAAAUCAUCAUGCCCCUUAUGACCUGGGCUACACACGUGCUACAAUGGACAGAACAAAGGGCAGCGAAACCGCGAGGUUAAGCCAAUCCCACAAAUCUGUUCUCAGUUUGGAUCGCAGUCUGCAACUCGACUGCGUGAAGCUGGAAUCGCUAGUAAUCGCGGAUCAGCAUGCCGCGGUGAAUACGUUCCCGGGCCUUGUACACACCGCCCGUCACACCACGAGAGUUUGUAACACCCGAAGUCGGUGAGGUAACCUUUUAGGAGCCAGCCGCCGAAGGUGGACAGAUGAUUGGGGGG